AAUUGGAAUGAGUACACCUUAAAUCGUUUAACGAGUAUCAAUUGGAGGGCAAGUCUGGUGCCAGCAGCCGCGGUAAUUCCAGCUCCAAUAGCGUAUAUUAAAGUUGCUGCAGUUAAAAAGCUCGUAGUUGGAUCUGGGGCUUGAGGUCGCUGUCUAUCGUUUCGGCGAUGACGGUGAUGCUCAGCUCUGCUUGCCGGUGACUGUUGCGGUGUUCUUAAUUGAGCGCUGUAGCAGCACGGCACGUUUACUUUGAAAAAAUUAGAGUGCUCAAAGCGUGCUUGUCGCUUGAAUAAUGUUGCAUGGAAUAAUGGAAUAGGACCUCGGUUCUAUUUUGUUGGUUUUCGGAGCUUGAGGUAAUGAUUAAGAGGGACGAACGGGGGCAUUCGUAUUGCGGUGUUAGAGGAGAAAUUCUUGGAUCGCCGCAAGACGGACUACUGCGAAAGCAUUUGCCAAGAACGCUUUCAUUAAUUAAGAACGAAAGUCAGAGGUUCGAAGACGAUCAGACACCGUCCUAGUUCUGACCAUAAACGAUGCCGACCAGCGAUCCGUAGUGGUUGCUUUAUGGACCCUACGGGCAGCCUCCGGGAAACCAAAGUAUUUGGGUUCCGGGGGAAGUAUGGUUGCAAAGCUGAAACUUAAAGGAAUUGACGGAAGGGCACACCAGGAGUGGAGCCUGCGGCUUAAUUUGACACAACACGGGAAAACUCACCCGGUCCGGACACCGUAAGGAUUGACAGACUGAUAGCUCUUUCUUGAUUCGGUGGAUGGUGGUGCAUGGCCGUUCUUAGUUGGUGGAGUGAUUUGUCUGGUUAAUUCCGAUAACGAACGAGACUCUAGCCUGCUAAGUAGUGUGUCUAUUGUGAUAUGGUAUACACUUCUUAGAGGGACAAGUGGCAUUUAGCCACGCGAAAUUGAGCAAUAACAGGUCUGUGAUGCCCUUAGAUGUCCGGGGCCGCACGCGCGCUACACUGGAGAAGUCGGCGUGUGUUAUCCAAGUCCGAAAGGAUUGGGUAAUCCGUUGAACCUUCUUCGUGCUUGGGACUGUGGCUUGGAACUAUUCCACAUGAACGAGGAAUUCCUAGUAAGUGCAAGUCAUUAGCUUGCGUUGAUUACGUCCCUGCCCUUUGUACACACCGCCCGUCGCUACUACCGAUUGAAUGGUUUAGCAAGGUCCUCGGAUCGUGGACGUAGGGGCACGCAAGUGUUUCUGCGUUUUGCGAGAAGACGACCAAACUUGAUCAUUUAGA
rnacentral:rRNA from 1 species